rnacentral:rRNA from 1 species
ACUCCUACGGGAGGCAGCAGUGGGGAAUAUUGCACAAUGGGGGAAACCCUGAUGCAGCGACGCCGCGUGGAGGAAGAAGGUCUUCGGAUUGUAAACUCCUGUUGUUGAGGAAGAUAAUGACGGUACUCAACAAGGAAGUGACGGCUAACUACGUGCCAGCAGCCGCGGUAAAACGUAGGUCACAAGCGUUGUCCGGAAUUACUGGGUGUAAAGGGAGCGCAGGCGGGAGAACAAGUUGGAAGUGAAAUCCAUGGGCUCAACCCAUGAACUGCUUUCAAAACUGUUUUUCUUGAGUAGUGCAGAGGUAGGCGGAAUUCCCGGUGUAGCGGUGGAAUGCGUAGAUAUCGGGAGGAACACCAGUGGCGAAGGCGGCCUACUGGGCACCAACUGACGCUGAGGCUCGAAAGUGUGGGUAGCAAACAGGAUUAGAUACCCUGGUAGUCCACACCGUAAACGAUGAUUACUAGGUGUUGGAGGAUUGACCCCUUCAGUGCCGCAGUUAACACAAUAAGUAAUCCACCUGGGGAGUACGACCGCAAGGUUGAAACUCAAAGGAAUUGACGGGGGCCCGCACAAGCAGUGGAGUAUGUGGUUUAAUUCGACGCAACGCGAAGAACCUUACCAAGUCUUGACAUCCCUUGACGAACAUAGAAAUAUGUUUUCUCUUCGGAGCAAGGAGACAGGUGGUGCAUGGUUGUCGUCAGCUCGUGUCGUGAGAUGUUGGGUUAAGUCCCGCAACGAGCGCAACCCUUAUGGUCAGUUACUACGCAAGAGGACUCUGGCCAGACUGCCGUUGACAAAACGGAGGAAGGUGGGGAUGACGUCAAAUCAUCAUGCCCUUUAUGACUUGGGCUACACACGUACUACAAUGGCGUUAAACAAAGAGAAGCAAGACCGCGAGGUGGAGCAAAACUCAGAAACAACGUCCCAGUUCGGACUGCAGGCUGCAACUCGCCUGCACGAAGUCGGAAUUGCUAGUAAUCGUGGAUCAGCAUGCCACGGUGAAUACGUUCCCGGGCCUUGUACACACCGCCCGUCACACCAUGAGAGCCGGGGGGACCCGAAGUCGGUAGUCUAACCGUAAGGAGGACGCCGCCGAAGGUAAAACUGGUGAUUGGGGUGAAGUCGUAACAAGGUAGCCGUAGGAGAACCUGCGGCUG